rnacentral:rRNA from 1 species
CCCUUAGAUGUUCUGGGCUGCACGCGCGCUACACUGAUACUUUCAGCGAGUCCACCACCUUGCCUGAGAGGGUGGGGUAACCUCUGGAAAGUGUAUCGUGAUGGGGAUCGAUUAUUGUAAUUAUUAAUCGUCAACGAGGAAUUCCUAGUAAGUGUGAAUCAUCAGUUCGCGCUGAUUACGUCCCUGCCCUUUGUACACACCGCCCGUCGCUGCUACCGAUUGAGUGGUCCGGUGAAUUAUUCGGACCGGUGGACUGUGGGGAAACCCGCGGCCUGCUGGGAAGUCUUGUGAACCUUAUCACUUAGAGGAAGCAGAAGUCGUAACA